GAUAAAGGGAGGAAAAAAUGCGCUCGUCUUCUUCCACCUUGGUGUGACGUCGCUCCGGGCGAAGCGAAAUCCUCGCUGUCACUCAGAGAGGGAGAGAGAAAGAAACUGCAAUUAGUUUUAGGAGGACCCGGCUGGGAAAAGAAAGGGGUGCUGGUUACUAAUGAUGAUAGAGGAAUAUGACAAGCUCCUACGAGACCAGAUCUGGAUUACAGUCUUUUCCUGCAAUCCCCUUCCGGCCAAUGAAAAAGCAUGAAGAGGAUUUUAAAUCACUGAAACAACAAUGAAGUCCAGACUAGGAGAGACAGACGACUGUCCUCGUCUGUCAGAGCGGCGGGCCAGCACACCUCAGCUUGUUGUCGUCUAAGUCGUGGUCUAACUCAUUGCAGCCCAAUAGGCAGAUGCUCUAGUUCCACAACAACCGUGCACAACGUGUGUGUGUACUUUUCAUGGCACUCACUGCAGUGUUGUGCAGCCCCUCUCCCCACCCCGCGGCCCAUACCAGAGGAAGGAGAGAAUGCACUGACCCUGUACAAGUUUGGCAGACUACCUAUAACAGCUGCGAGGCCAGCCCCACACCUGUCUCCAUACAGCCCAUACACCAAACCACAGAACAAUGCAGCUGUCAGUAUGCAGUCUCUGUUUGAAGAGGAGGUGAUCUCUGAGAUGUGCUCCAGACUGGCAGGCUACCCCAGCAAUGACAGGGCAGAGGGACUGGCAGCUUUACUCGGAGCAUGUGUUGAAUUUGGCUUAGAUGC